GAUGAAGAACGCAGCGAAACGCGAUAUGUAAUGUGAAUUGCAGAAUUCAGUGAAUCAUCGAAUCUUUGAACGCACAUGGCGCCUUCCAGUAUUCUGGCGGGCAUGCCUGUCCGAGCGUCAUUUCAACCCUCAAGCCCCCGGGCUUGGUGUUGGGGAUCGGCGAGCCUCCGCGCCCGCCGUCCCCUAAAUCUAGUGGCGGUCUCGCUGUAGCUUCCUCUGCGUAGUAGCACACCUCGCACUGGGAAACAGCGCGGCCACGCCGUUAAACCCCCAACUUCUGAACGUUUGACCUCGGAUCAGGUAGGAAUACCCGCUGAACUUAAGCAUAUCAAUAAGCGGAGGA
rnacentral:misc_RNA from 1 species